UACGUAGGGUGCGAGCGUUGUCCGGAAUUAUUGGGCGUAAAGAGCUCGUAGGCGGUCUGUCGCGUCGGUCGUGAAAACUUGGGGCUUAACCCUGAGCUUGCGGUCGAUACGGGCAUGACUGGAGUUCGGCAGGGGAGACUGGAAUUCCUGGUGUAGCGGUGAAAUGCGCAGAUAUCAGGAGGAACACCGGUGGUGUAGACGGCUUACUGGACCACGACUGACACUGAGGCACGAAAGCGUGGGUAGCAAACAGG
rnacentral:rRNA from 1 species